GAGAGCAGGAGCCACUUCUGGAGACCCUUCCCCCGUCCCCGACCUGCCCUUCCAUCAUCUCUUUCUAUCUGGCACUGGGUUUUACUUCCAAAUUCUCCCACCAGUAUCUGAAGCGUUUUCUCUACUUAGAAAUCCAUCUCAGCAAACGAACAUGCCUGAAGUUUUCAUUCGUGAAGUUCAGGGUAUGUCUUUUGGAAAUGAUUUUUUCCUUUGAAAUUCUAGAUCCAAAUCUCAAAAGGGCCAGACUGGGAGCCCAGUGGAAGAACAGGAGAGAGGAAUUGAAGAAUUUCCUUCGUGCGUGUAUUACGUCCUGCUAAAUGGAAUGCCGAGGAGCUUCGAUGGAAGCAUCUCUUCAGGAUUGAUUCACUGCCUCUGGAAAUGGGCCUGAGUUUCCCGCGCAGGUGUGGCACGUUGGAGGAGGAACAGCAAGGAGAGAAAGGCUGUGACAUUUCGUCUUCUCUCAGUUCAUCUCAUCUACUCCAGCUUUGGUGAGGAAACUGAGGCACAGAGAGAUCAUGCAAACUGCUGUAAGAACUAGUUAAGUUAGAGUUUGAACCUGGGCAGUCUGACUCCAGAGCCUACACACGGAACCACCAGGUGCUUUUGUCUCUUCCUUUGGGGCCCAGCUUCGGUACACAGGGUUAGAGGACAGUGGGUUAUGUCACAAAAUGGAGAAGCGACACCUAGAAGGGAUGCUGUGUCAUUAGUAACCUUCGAGUGAGGUGAAAAGCUACCUCUUCUGCCUGCAAUCACUUCGGAAGUAAUCUGACCCAAAGUAAUCAGAGUAUCUGUUUCUUUGGGGGCUGCUGAAAGUGUGACAGAGAUGUGACCAGACGUCUCUGUCAGGCUGAUCCUUCCCUUGGCUUGCCAGGAGCUCCGGGCCGGCCUGGGUGGGGCACCCACCGAGUGCUUGCUGAGGAUGGGUUGACCUCAUGGCAACACAGCCACGCCUUAACGGAGGCAAACUCUGACAAUGUGGAUAAAUGAAGAGAUGGCUUAUUAGCCUUUAACGAAGACUAACCACAGAAUUCUCUAGAGUAAGAUACACGUAUCAAAUUCCUUUUGUAUCUACCUUUUCACCAGAGCACCUGCUGGAAAAGGGAGGCGAUACGUCCAACAGUUGUGUGCGUAGGUUGUGUGUUUAGGUUUACAGCCAGGUGACCUCAGGUGUGCCCCUCAACAGCCUCAUCUGUGAAAGGGUAUCUAUCUCAUAGGCUGUAAUGAAGACAAAAUCAGAUAAUCCAGGUAAAGAGACUCAGAGUGUGGUCCUCGGACCAGCAGCAGCUCACAGGCUGCCUUCUCAGAAAUGCAGACUUCAGGUCCCAUCCCAGACUUGCUGGGCCAGAAUCUGUGUUUGGCCCUCCAGGUAGUUCACCUGCACGGUCCUUCAUCACGAAUACUGAAUUGGCGGAGCCAUAGUAAAGCGAACACAUGAUCACUGUGAGUUGUCAUUUUACAAACUGAGAUCAUUUACCGUCAAAGCGAAUUCAGCAUCGCUGUUCUGGGAGUAAAGUAUGCAAAGGGGGAGCGGCCUCGGAAACGAACUGCGAGUUCCCGGUUGGAACCCCCCUCCCCUGUCUCCACUAUUUGCCAUUUUUCUAAAUUCUCAGAGAUGGAGAGAAAGCACCUGAAGAAAGUAGCAGAGACUAUCUGGGGAAACCGUUGGGAGAACCAAAGUCAGGGAAACAAACAGUCACAAAACAUACAGCUUUUGCAUCAGGCAGUGAUGGAGGCUGGCAGGUCAUGCCUAGUACCGAAACUAGAAAAGGCUUUUUAAAAACAAAAAAUUACUAUUAUUAUUAUUUUCAGCACAACCCAAGCCUCCUGCCAGAUCAUGGCUCUUAAUGUAAGUGCACAGUUACUGCUCAAAAGUGAUUCACAGGUCUUUAAAGAGCCACUCUCCUUUGGAAGUCAGUUUAGAACGCAGAGGGUUUGAAGAUUAGUGUUGAGAGUGAGAGCAUUUGACUGCCUAAGGAUUCAAUCUCUCAGGUGCUUAGAUAUUUCGCAGCGAGAACUGAUGUUCAUUAAACUGUAAGCAAAUUAGAGUUCAAGCCAAAGAUAUAAAGGAAGACGUAAUUAGUGUA